rnacentral:lncRNA from 1 species
CCUGUCGUACUGGCAUUACUGAUCGUGAGGUGAUAGAGAGAGAAGACGCUAUACUUUUGGACCUGUAUACCUGGUUUACCAUCACCUUGUGCCCCUUUGGGAGUACAAUUUCAAGUGGACUUCAUUUAUUUAUUUCAAGAAGUUCAGGUGGUGGAGAUAUGGCCAAAAUCAAGAUGAGAUGGAGAGCUACAUUGCUAUGUCUAACAGAAUUCCAGAAUUCCACGACUACUACUACUGCAACCACCACAACAGCAGCUACACAAACUACAGUGGCUGCACCUACCUAUAGCAGCACUAUGGCAAGAAACAGACCUCAAGAAGUGGUCACUUUACUACUGGUUUUAAUGCUGAUCUGUUUCUUCUUAACAGAAUAACUCUAGGACUCAAUUAAACCCAUUAAGUAUAACAUAUUCUAUAAUAAAGGCAUAUAUAACUUCAGCUAUUAAGAUUAAGAUAUGUUAAGAAACGACUAAUAAUCAAAUAGUAAUAUCUUAGUUAAAGUAAUUGCUUGUCUAUAUGAUUAUGUAUAAAACUGUUUGUCUAAUUUAUUUUUAUAAAAUGUACCUCAAGAGAAAAUAAUUCAGAAAAUAAUGCUGUUAAUGUAAUGAAGCUGAAUGUAAAUGUGUGAUGUAUUUCUAUUUAUAUGUUGUUUUAGUAUAUUGCAAUAGACUAUGAAUAAUGUAAUAGAAUAUAAAUACAUUUGUAUAUUAUGAAAUGAACUAAGCAAAUUAUACAAUUCUUGGAAACCUAAUUGUCUAUUCUGUAAUAUAUAGUUUCUUCCUAAUUGUAACCCAACUCUCGGCAUACAUUGCAAUCUUUGGAAAUUACUUUGAAAACCCUUGAAUAAAUAAUGCCAAAGAAAAACACAUAAAUAAAUACACUUUAGACUGUAGAUGUAUUGUAAUAAUACUUAAAUAAACACAAAUUGAUCUU